rnacentral:rRNA from 1 species
AUUGAACGCUGGCGGCAUGCCUUACACAUGCAAGUCGAACGGUAACAGGUCUUCGGAUGCUGACGAGUGGCGAACGGGUGAGUAAUACAUCGGAACGUGCCUAGUAGUGGGGGAUAACUACUCGAAAGAGUGGCUAAUACCGCAUGAGAUCUACGGAUGAAAGCAGGGGAUCGCAAGACCUUGUGCUACUAGAGCGGCCGAUGGCAGAUUAGGUAGUUGGUGGGAUAAAAGCUUACCAAGCCGACGAUCUGUAGCUGGUCUGAGAGGACGAUCAGCCAAACUAGGACUCAGACACGGCCCAGACUCCUACGGGAGGCAGCAGUGGGGAAUUUUGGACAAUGGGCGAAAGCCUGAUCCAGCAAUGCCGCGUGCAGGAUGAAGGCCUUCGGGUUGUAAACUGCUUUUGUACGGAACGAAAAGCCCUGGGUUAAUACCCUGGGGUCAUGACGGUACCGUAAGAAUAAGCACCGGCUAACUACGUGCCAGCAGCCGCGGUAAAAC